rnacentral:rRNA from 1 species
CGCUCGCGCUUCCGCCGGCGACCGGCGCACGGGUGAGUAACACGUAUGGAACCUGCCCGCAGCAGGGGGAUAAUCGGGGGAAACCCCGUCUAAUACCGCGUAACGACCCGGAGGGGCAUCCCUUCGGGUCCAAAGGUUUACCGGCUGCGGAUGGCCAUGCGUCGCAUUAGCUGGUUGGCGGGGUAACGGCCCACCAAGGCGACGAUGCGUAGGGGUUCUGAGAGGAAGGUCCCCCACACUGGUACUGAGACACGGACCAGACUCCUACGGAAGGCAGCAG